rnacentral:lncRNA from 1 species
AAUGAUACUUGUCUUCGAUUUCUUUUUCUUCACAUAAAUGGUUUCAUUUUCUUUCUUAUGAGAAUGAAGUUUUUCAUCUUCACCCUUAGUCAAAAUACUUUCCUUUGCUCUGAUGCAGUUAUUUUUCUUUUUAAACAUUUUCCACAUGCAGAAUAGAAUAAAUUGAAUCAUUCGUCUGGAAAAAAGAUCUAUUUUUUUUUCUUUUGUCUGGGUCAUGGGUGAAUGAGAGACUAGACAGUUUAUGCACAUUCUAUACUGUACAUAUACACAUUAAACGACCAUUUAUUACUUUGCUGAUCAACCAUUUUUAUCAAUCAUUUUAAAUGAGUCUGUAGCAAAGCUGAAGUAGAGUCCCUGUGAUUACAGCAAGGAGAGUCGGUUGCUCUAAAAAUGGCCAUUUUGCUACUGUUUUCCCCAUCGCCACCUGCUGAAAUGUGCGGCAUCCAUCAGUGCUGAUAAAACCUUUUCUCAUCCUGGUCCAUGUUUGAGAUUAAUUACAAGCACAUCCUUCCUGUUUAAAGAUGUUCUGACCAAUGUUGGUAUCAGGCAGCGUUCAGGGAGGAAACUUUUCCGAACAGGUGUCCACAUGUAACAUCACGCGGCCACGAGAGGCAGUUGAAGGGAGUGGACUUGGAAGUCCGGAGGCCCCUGCCCUCCCUGCUGUAAACCUGGGGGGUUGGAGCCGGUGGGAUGCAGGUCCUGGCCUGAUAGGGCUGCUGCGUGUCACUCGUUCACUGGGCAGGAAGAGAGGGGAAAGGCUUUCCUUGAUAUUUCCCGCCGCCCAGUUCUGAGCAGAAGUCUGCAUUUUCCAUUGUCCCUGUGUCCAUCCCGCCAAACCUGCCGUCCCUGGAACCGUGCAUCCCAUUGAAUGGAAGGAGGUGGAAACCCGCCCUGUGAAGUCACAGCUGUGCGAGCAGCACGGUGCCAGGCGUGGCUCUUUGUACUCUGGAAUCAGAUGAUUGACGGCUGGCAGGGAUGAGCACGUGCUCACUGAGCCUGGGGGCUUUGAUCUUCACCACGUCCACCGAGGCAGCGGAAAUUUCCUGGGAAGGUGACAGGGAUUUCCUAAACCAAAUGCAAAUAGAUGUUUAACCUUCACCUCCAGCUCACUCCCAGAGGCUAUGCAAGUGCAUGCAAAGAAAACACUGAGAUAAUGUAACUUGAAGGCCUUGCUAGGAUUGGGGAAGGACUUAGCAGAUGGCAGGUUUUAUCUUUUGUGACAAAAGACUCUCACUCUUUUGCCAGUCCUGCCAGUUAUGGGCUAUAUAUACGUCAUCCUUUUUCUUUAAUUAACUGAUGCUAAUAAAAUACUGUAUAAAAUUUAGUAAACAUAGAAAACAUUUUCCAACAUGAAUACAUGCUAUAAUUAACCUGUACUUGUGAAUGCCUCAUGAAAAAAUAAGUGUGUAGCUUAGCAUUUAUAUGUUAGGAAAAAUAUGGAGUUAUAUGAGUUACAGUCCAGAUUUUGUCAUGAAAGUUAUGUACUUUAGGCUCAGAUAUGACCCUAGUUUUCUGGUCAGGAAAAAAGGUGUUGAUGAAAUCAGAUGAUCUCAAGGUAAUUUUCAGUUAAAAGCCUGUGAUCUGCGAUCUUUCCUGUAUUCUCUCCACUGUUUCCUGUCUCAUCGAUGUGGUUAUUACAGGUGUUUUUAUUAUUAAUUUCCUCCCAAAGAUAUUAUUCUCUUUGUGUGUGUGUGUUAGUUUUUUUUAAGUAAAAUGAUUUUACUAUAUUUUUAAUUUUUGGAAAAUAUUGUGUCUUUGCAUGGACAUUUUGGACCACUCGUCUGCUCUUUAAAAUUUCUUUGUAAUGGAGUCAGUGCCUCGUUUCUCUCUGCCGAUGCCCCAGAUGCCACCUUUCCUUCCAUUUGGAGCCCUGCCUUCCCCUAUACGUUUGAUUUUAUGAUUGGAAAAUGGGAUUAUUCGCUACAGAACUUUGCUUCAGAAACACAUUGAGGACUGUGUGGAUAUUGAGAGAAGUGGACCUUUCUUCAGGGGCAGUGGCAGUGGUUAGUGGGUUCCCAUGAAGGGGCUUCCAAGCACAGAUCUCUGUCCACACGCUCGGCCUUCCAGAAGACAGGUACCACUGUGUCGCCAGGACAUCUCACCCCGGGGGGGGUGUGUGUGUCUUUCUGCAACACCUGAAAACUGAUCAGCAGUGCAGCCUCUCAGGCCCUGCCCAGAUCUCCUGACUCAGAAUCCGCAUUUUAACAUCCUCAGGUGGUUCUUAACACACACGUGAGUGUGGGAAGCUGCUCGAGAACCUCCUCAUCCUUUGGAUCAACUUUGGGCCGGGAGUUUGGGAACGUUUCCUCCUGGGGCAGCUCUGUCCUUCCCCUUAGCCAGCUCUGCCUCUGGGACAACAAGGAGCAGGCAGGACCCUCUGAUUUCACGUGUCACUACUGAUAAGAGGGGCAUGGCAAUUGUCACUUGAGCGUUAAACAGAGGAGAAUCAACCCUCUUUGAAUUCAUUCAUGUUUCCUUGCUGUUGCAUUGGCAUACUGGAAAAAUGUGUAGACAUAUUAAUUCUUUUAAUAACAAUAGUGUUUGAACCCAGGUCUUCGUAAGCAUUUUUCUUUAAUGUUUGAUGGACUUUCCUCAUGGAUCUAAUGGGCUCCAAUACUUCCCGUCUCUGUCCGCUUGUGUCCCCUCAUACCUGUUGGUUAUCAGAGUCACCAAGGUGGGUUUUGAUGGUUCUAGAUUCCGCGUUCCCACCUCCCGAGCUUCCUGGGGACCACAGGGCCCCCAGACACUGGUGUUUGUGAAAACCUUCUCGGGGGUUUCUGGGGACGUGGCCUGUUGGGGGCCCGUUGACCUGACUUUGCAGAGCCCCCGUCUCAUCUCUUCUUUGAGUGAUGGAGGUGGAAUGAGAGCAGUUACGCCGAGGGCCGAAAGCACUUCCCAGACGGCCCAAGGGUCCUCACCCUGCCGCGAGCUCCCGUUGUUUUUUCCUUCCAUUUGGUGCCUCUUGCCAAUUUCUUAGCUCCACACACAGCCCUCCGGGGCCACUGCCAACACUUCUGAGACAGAGUUGAUUUGGGUUCCUGUCAUUGUAGCACUCCAGCUUCUGGGGUGUUAUAAUUGUCUUCCGUUUGACUUGCAGACAUAGUCGCAAAAUGUAUGUCAUUUGUUUAUUCUCCAGGCCCCACCCAUGACCUCCACCACCAGGUAGCUCCCUCUGAGGGCUUCGCGCUGGGCUCCUGGUCCUUCCGCCGUAAGCUCCGACCUCACAUCCAGGAAGGGAACCAACUGGAAGGUUCACGGGCUGAUCCCUGGGCGCCUUUUCUUACAGACCUCGACUCGACACACUCUCUCCCCUCUGUGGGGGCGGCGGUGGGGGGCAGCGAGUGGCAGGUCUUUCUCUGACUGACGCAGAACCGAUUUUCCCUUCCGUUUUCUCAAGGCUCAGUUCCAGCGACACCAGUAAUUUUGCCUUCGAAACACAGAAACUCCCGCCACGAAAUUCCUUCGAUCCCUCGCUGCCCUUUUUGCCAAGCGCAGAAUGAUGCCUAAUGGUCAAAUGCUGAGAUGCCGAUCACUCAGUUUGAAGUGAAUCCUCAAACUCGGUGACCUGGCCUUGGAGGUGAGCCCCGAAUGCUGCUGCACUGCAGAGGGUCCCUUGGGCCUCCAGACCCCUUCGAGAAUGGAAUGGAGGGGAAGAGUGAAGUGAUAAGAACACUGGGGGGGUCUUCUGGUGUUGGGGUCGGUGGUUUGCCUUCACAAAUGGAAUGAGUUUCUUUGAUUUAAAGAAGGCUUUUGCUUCAUCUUCGACCAUGUUCACGGGCUCGGCGACAUCACCCCAAGUACGCAGGUGGAGACCGCCUCCGCCCGCAUUUCUGGAAUUCAGCACCGUCGUCUGUAACUCAAGGUGACACAUCCAGAAUACUCUGAAUUAUGCCUUCCAUGGCCUGUAGGAGAAGUCUUCGUUCAGGCCCAGGGGCGUAGUUCUUCCGCAUUUUUCUGAGAUGAUCAAUUAUUAUGUUAGUUUCAUUGAAAAUCUGAGAAAGACUCAAGGAAUUCCCCUUAUAAACCGGUUGGAAAUUCUCAUUAAAAGAAAAAUUCUCAUUAAAAGGAAAUUCUCAUUAAAGCAAAACAAAAAGAGUAUUCUCUCCCUCUUUGCACUUUCCUCUUUUCUCCUGCCUGUCCUCCUGGUUGGCCUGAGCACCCUCAGAGUUGCAGUGAUGUUGGGAGAGGACCGCGGGCACACCUGUGGCAGGUAUUCGAUGUAGCAGAAGAAAGAAAGGCAGAGGGAGUGGCUGUUGCCUUCACUGCUCAUGUCCAGAAGCAUCUUCGGGGCUUCAUUUGUGGCCUUCAGUUCCAAAAGCUGAUGUGCCCCAGAUGGGAGGCGAAUGGCCAAGCAUUGAAUCAGUGGAAAUCAAAGCCAGUCUUUGAAUUGUUAGUGUGAUCUGUUCUCAACCUAGAAACCAGCGAGCCCUUAGACAGUACAAUGUAUAUUUGCCCCAAUAGGCUUUUGUCUCACUGGCUGGCCCCAUUACCUGCCUGGCUUCCCAUUGCAGAGUGGGUCUCUUGGAAGAGACAGUACUGGUUUCACAGGCCUCCUUUUGUGAUUCCAUCUUGUACCUUCCGGAAUUCUUAAGUGGAUUUUCUUCAGUAGGUUGUAUGUUGUCAGUUUUCCUUGGUCUUGUCUUGUCCUAUUUUCUAGAAUGUUGGGGUGCAUUUGAUGACAUGAUCUCAUCUCUUCCUGCCUCUCAGCGGCUGUGGCGUUGCUCGGAUGUCGGUGUGCAGUUUAUACGAGGUCAUCCCUUUGUUUACUCGAGGACCAUCCCACUGACACACCUGUUGUUCCCUCUGGCGCAGGGUUCUGCUCCCUUGUGUGUUUUUCCAAAUCUGGGGUACUUUGUUCUAAACACCGACAUUUUGCUUUCACCAUCUCAGCUUCUAGCAAGUAUUUCUGAGUAAGGCCUCAUGUUAUCUAACCAGAGUUUCAUUUUCUCCGGAUCUUAUCUUUACGGGUGUGAGAUAUGUGCAGAAUCCCAAUGCCUGGAAAUCCCUCAACUAUUUAUUAUGUGUGUCCGUAUCUGUUUCUCUGCAUUCCUAUCUCUCCUCCUGUGCUAAACGGUGCAUUUUAAAAACACUUUCUGGGUAUUGUUAUCAAGGUUAUAUGUUUAUGUUUUGUUCUUGCUCCUUCUUGCUGAGAAUAUUAUCUUGGUUUCUGAAUCUGGAGUGUAUGUGAAUGAAAGUAUGUGAUUUUUUGUGUGUUUUAUCCCCUUUCAGUGCUAAAAAAAAUACCUACAAACUGAAAGUCACGGUGAACACAUUUGUUAUAAAUACAUAGGUGCUUUUUGAUGUGAGGCUUUUGAAUAACAUUCUCCUUAUUUAAUCACAACUGCCUGUGCUGCUGCUUCUCUUCUUGCUGGUAUCUGACAUAAAAAUUUGGAUUUAGACACGAACUCAGCCAUGGGGAUAGACACAUCAGAACUGGCUUAUGAAUGAGUUAUUUUGUGGGGUUUUAUUACAGAUAGUCCCCUAUCGAGGCAAAUCCGAAGAGGGCUUAAUCAGGUGCCAUUAAAGACUGGACUUAGGGCCGUAAUCCUAAGCCACAGAGUGACACUUAUCUAAAGUAAUCAUCUUGCCUCUCAAGCACAUUUCAGUAGUGUUUGCUAAUCUCGCAAGCAUAUGGGAUCAGGGAGUUAAAAAUAAGAAGCAGGUCAAAUAAAUGUGACUCUGGAAGGGAAAAUCUAUUUGACUGAGUUACUUGUUUAUAUUUUUAAAGGGAAACAAAGGAGUACGUUUUACUACUAUGAAGAGAUUAUUGUUAACCUCUAGAAGAGAGCAAAACUAAAUUAGUACUAGCGUUGAGUUACCAAUCCGAAUGCCUUUCCAUCUGUGUCAGGGUGAGACGUCCGGCUCAGGUUCGUGUACCCUGGAAGGCCUCAGGCCAAGGGGGCCCUCCUAACAGUGGGAAAAUAUCCCUUGCCGGGCUGACAAGAUUACAAAG